UACGAAGGGGGCUAGCGUUGUUCGGAAUCACUGGGCGUAAAGCGCACGUAGGCGGACAUUUAAGUCAGGGGUGAAAUCCCGAGGCUCAACCUCGGAACUGCCUUUGAUACUGGGUGUCUUGAGUAUGGAAGAGGUUGGUGGAACUGCGAGUGUAGAGGUGAAAUUCGUAGAUAUUCGCAAGAACACCAGUGGCGAAGGCGGCCAACUGGUCCAUUACUGACGCUGAGGUGCGAAAGCGUGGGGAGCAAACAGG
rnacentral:rRNA from 1 species